rfam:Pan troglodytes isolate Yerkes chimp pedigree #C0471 (Clint) chromosome 3, whole genome shotgun sequence.
GCCAGGCAUGGUGGCGCAUGCCUGUAAUCCCAGCUACUUGGGAGGCUGAGGCAGGAGACUCCCUUGAACCCAGGAAGUGGAGGCUGUAGUGAGCCAAGAUCGUGCCACUGCACUUCAGCCUGGGCAACAGAGCGAGAUCCUGUCUCAA